UACGAAGGGGGCUAGCGUUGCUCGGAAUGACUGGGCGUAAAGGGCGCGUAGGCGGAUUGUACAGUCAGGCGUGAAAUUCCCGGGCUCAACCUGGGGGCUGCGCUUGAGACGUGCGAUCUUGAGUGGGGAAGAGGGUCGUGGAAUUCCCAGUGUAGAGGUGAAAUUCGUAGAUAUUGGGAAGAACACCGGUGGCGAAGGCGGCUCACUGGACCGAUACUGACGCUGAGGCGCGAAAGCGUGGGGAGCAAACAGG
rnacentral:rRNA from 1 species